rnacentral:rRNA from 1 species
CCUACGGGUGGCUGCAGUGGGGAAUAUUGGACAAUGGGCGAAAGCCUGAUCCAGCCAUGCCGCGUGUGUGAAGAAGGCCUUCGGGUUGUAAAGCACUUUCAGUGGGGAAGAAAGCCUUGGGGCUAAUACCCUCGAGGAAGGACAUCACCCACAGAAGAAGCACCGGCUAACUCCGUGCCAGCAGCCGCGGUAAUACGGAGGGUGCGAGCGUUAAUCGGAAUUACUGGGCGUAAAGCGCGCGUAGGCGGUCUGAUAAGCCGGUUGUGAAAGCCCCGGGCUCAACCUGGGAACGGCAUCCGGAACUGUCAGGCUAGAGUGCAGGAGAGGAAGGUAGAAUUCCCGGUGUAGCGGUGAAAUGCGUAGAGAUCGGGAGGAAUACCAGUGGCGAAGGCGGCCUUCUGGACUGACACUGACGCUGAGGUGCGAAAGCGUGGGUAGCAAACAGGAUUAAUACCCCUGUAGUC